rnacentral:sRNA from 1 species
GACACCCUCUAAACUCUGCAAACUGAAACCGGAACCAUGGUUACCACAUCCUGUUCAUUUUCCAAUUUAGCUCAACCCCUGUGUCCUGCCCAAUAGAAGUGGCACCAUGGCCCCCAAACUCAUCACCCUUCUGUGUCUGGGUAAGUCCUGGAAGGGAAAGGAGGACACGGUUGGGAUGGAAAAUGCUCUCUUGAAGACCUGGCCUCUCCACAACCCGGGUCUGGUGGUGGGAGGCCAGGUCCCUCUGAAUCCAGGCUGAGCUGACAAACCCAGUUACAAGGAGGGCAGGAUUCACAUGAAGACAAGCUAUUUCUCUCUCUCUCUUUUUUUUUUUUUUUUUUUUUUCCCAGGAUUCUGCCUGAACCAGAAGAUCGGCACACAUGUGGGUGCUCAGGACAAGUUCUCCCUGUCAGCCUGGCCGAGCCCUGUGGUUCCCCUAGGAGGACGUGUGACUCUCUCCUGUCAUUCCCGUCUUCGGUUUGUCGUAUGGACAAUAUUCCAAACAACUGGGACCCGAAGCCGUGAGUUGCACAUUGGCCUUUCCAACAACAUCACCAUCAGCCCUGUGACCCCAGGACACGCAGGGACCUACAAAUGUGUUGGAAUUUACAAGCAUACCUCAAAGUGGUCAGCUGAGAGCAACUCCCUGAAGAUCAUUGUCACAGGUGGACCCCAUGAUAAGGCUGGGAGAGAAGUUGACCUUCUUCUGCAGCUCUGAAAUCUCAUUUGACUGGUACCAUCUGUUGAGAGACGGGGUUGCUCAUGGACAGUGGCUCAGUGGAGGGCAGAGACACAGUGGAGCGUUCCAGGCCAACUUUUCUGUGGGCCCCGCAACGCCAGUCCCUGGCGGGACCUAUAGAUGCUAUGGUUCUUUCAAUGACUCUCCCUAUGAGUGGUCAGCCCCCAGUGACCCACUACACCUUUACGUCACAGGAAACACUAAGAGUACUCCUCUGUCACUCAUGGAAUCCACCCAUGAGUCUGACACACAUCAUCCUCAAGGACAGUCCAGCAACCUGAAUAUCCUCAUUGGACUCUCAGUAGCCAUCAUCUCCAUUGGCGUUUGCCUCUCUGCUUUUAUUGGUUUCUGGUGUUACAUAAAAUAUUACACCACCAUGGCAAACACAGAGCCCAUGGAAGGCCAACGGACGGAUGAAGAGGAACCUGCCGCAGAAGAGACACAGAAGAUCAUAUAUGCCCAGUUAAACCACCAGGCCCUCUCACAGACAGGAUUCACUCCUGCCUCCCCGUGUCCCCACUACAUCUCGGAGGAUCCCAGUAUCUACGUCACCGUCCACCAAGCCCAGGCUGAGGCCAGAGCUGCCCCCAGUCUUUGGCACAAAGGGCAUUAAUACGCAAGGACCUGGAUCUAUUCCUAGGAGGAUUUUUUUUUCCAUGGACAUUCUUCCUCCUUCUGGUACCGUCUUGACACCUCCAAGC